UAAUCACCAAUAAAAAAAAAAAACAAAUGUCGAAUUCCACUAGCGGAGAUCACUUGAGCCACAAAAAACUUCAGUUUAGAAACUCUGGUCGGAGAUGGUGGAUUUGUUAUGGUCUACAGAGAAGAACUCUCUAACGACUGGAAAAACCAGCUAGCUUAGUAGCCAUCAAACCCCUUGAUCCAAAUAGUUAUCAAGGAACCAACGAUUUCCAUAAUGAAGUCAAGUUGGUUUCAAGUUUCAACCAUCCAAACAUCAUCCCGUUCGUUGGUUACUGUGACGAUGCAAAUGAGAAAAUUAUAGUUUUCAAGUUUACUAGUAACAGGUGCCUUGAUUAUCACCUCCGAGACCCAGAUAGGAAGCCUUGCCUAACAUGGGAACAACGCCUGAAGAUGUUCUUAAGGGAAGCAACAGGAGUAAAGUAGUUCACUCUGGUGUUGGGGAGCACAGCAGAGUAAUUCAUAGAGAUUUGAAGAGCGCAAAUAUUUUGUUAGAUGCUAAUCUGGAAGCCAAUAUAUGUGAUUUUGGUUUGUCAAGACUAAGUCCAAGAAAUCAGCAAGAUACCCUUGUUUGUACAACGCCAAGGUCUUCUGGUACAAGGUUUUACAUCGAUCCGAGUUACAUGGAAAUAGGUAUGCUCUCUAAAGAGUCUGAAAUAUACUCAUUUGGAGUGGUAAUGUUUGAGAUGUCGAGUAGGAUGAUGGCUUAUAAGGUAAGGCCCUUAGAAGACCAAGGACUGUUUCUGAUCGACAUAAUAUCGUGGACUCUUUGACGGACUUGACAAGUUAAAAGAUCCCACUAUCAAAGAUGAGAAUGGUUUGAGGUCUUUUCAUAAAUUUAACGAAAUUGCACAUGAGUGCAUUAACUUGGACUUAAGAAAAGGCCCUACGAUGGAUAAGAUCAUCAAGGCGAUUACAGAAGCGUUGAAUUUUCAAGUAAGUCUUUUGUUUAUAACAAUACACUCUGGAAACAUAUUUUCAAUGCAAUGCAUAUUUUAAUUUUUUGACUAUCAUCUUUUGUUUUUUUUUUAUAACAAGAAACGAAAACAUCUUAUCUUUCUUCCAUAAACACAUUAGGAAAUGUAAAGAUAUCCGGCCUGCUGCUCCUGAGGAAUUAAAUAUCCUCAAAGGCCGAGGUCGAACAAGAUAAAAGGGUCCUUAUUAUUAUAGUAAGUUUUUAUUUGUAAAUAAAAAUAUACAAUAAAAAAGUUAUGGGAAUCAACAUUUUUUUAACUACUUAUAACAAAUUUUUUUGAGAAAACAAUACAAUUUCAAAUAAUAAAAAUAAUUCAAUAAUUAAUGUACGGUAAAAAUGUAUUUUAGCUAACUUUAGGUAAGCCCAUUGAAUAUUGUUAAUCAAUAUAAAGUAGAACACAUUACCCAACAUAUUAUCAUAGGCGGUUAUGCCCCUCUACUUGUAGCAAAACACACAUACAUACACUUGAUGAACGAAGUAGCAAGUAUUUCGAGAUACUAUCACUAACUUCACCUAGAGAAGCGGGCAAAUGUCAGACUUCUCCAAAGGAAUCAACUCAGUGGCAGAAAGACUUUUGGGAGGAACUUCUGUCACCGGAUUACCAGGAAAUCAUUGUGAGGGCGGUUCCUCCGCUGGAUAUUGGCUCUAAAAAGCCUCUAUACUUCCGCUUACCGGACUCACGUAUUUUCCUUGAUGGUGGCUACCUGGUUUCGGUAGGUUUGCAUACUAAAAACGUACGUUGGCAAUGGCCAUCCAUGGCAAAAUAGCAUAUGCAAUGUUGUUAGGAUACACAACAUAUGUAGCGUACCUUGUCUUUCGAACUACUAGCAAUUAUGGACUUUUUGUGCCAGCUAAAACAACGGUGAUUUUUGGUGGUGUAAUAAUGGAGACCGAAAAUGUAUAUCUUCAAAUACAAGAGGCUACUGAAAUAUGGUAUGAAAAAUGAUAGGUUUAAUCAAAGGAGAAAGGACGGGUGGAUGGAGAUCAAGUUGGGAGAAUUUAUCAAGUACAAUGAAGGAGAUGUUAGUGAGGUUGAGAUGGAGGGCAUUGAGUUGUGGCUUAAAUCUACUGAUCAAUAUUUGCCAUUUGUAAAACAUGAAUACACACAUACACAAACAGAGGCAGAGCAAUAUGAUCAAUGAAGUAGCCAGUCGGUCGGAGUUGCAAGAAGGUUGUUUGUCGGGCAUACUUUCACUAAAUUUUGAACGGAAAAUAUUAUGGAAAUAUAUGAAAACAAACAAAAUAAGAAAUUAAUGAGGCUUUUUUUUAUUACAAUGUCCUUAAAAUAAUUUGUUGAUCA